rnacentral:rRNA from 1 species
AUUGAACGCUGGCGGCAUGCUUUACACAUGCAAGUCGAACGGCAGCGGGGGCUUCGGCCUGCCGGCGAGUGGCGAACGGGUGAGUAAUGCAUCGGAACGUGCCCAUGUUGUGGGGGAUAACUACGCGAAAGCGUAGCUAAUACCGCAUAAGCCCUGAGGGGGGAAAGCGGGGGAUUCUUCGGAACCUCGUGCGAUUGGAGCGGCCGAUGUCGGAUUAGCUAGUAGGUGAGGUAAAGGCUCACCUAGGCGACGAUCCGUAGCGGGUCUGAGAGGAUGAUCCGCCACACUGGGACUGAGACACGGCCCAGACUCCUACGGGAGGCAGCAGUGGGGAAUUUUGGACAAUGGGCGCAAGCCUGAUCCAGCCAUGCCGCGUGAGUGAAGAAGGCC